UUCAAAGUAUUGAGAGUGUACUGGAUGUAACGGUCUACUGCUACAAGGUAUUGAGAGUGUACUGGAUGUAACGGUCUACUGCUACAAGGUAUUAAGAGUGUACUGGAUGUAACGGUCUACUGUUACAAGGUAUUGAGAGUGUACUGGAUUUCAUGGUCUACUGCUACAAGGUACUGAGAGCGUACUGGAUGUAACAGUCUACUGCUACAAGGUACUGAGAGUGUACUGGAUGUAAUGGUCUACUGCUACAAGGUACUGAAAGUGUACUGGAUGUAAUGGUCUACUGUUA